rnacentral:rRNA from 1 species
GUGGGGAAUAUUGCACAAUGGGGGAAACCCUGAUGCAGCGACGCCGCGUGGAGGAAGAAGGUCUUCGGAUUGUAAACUCCUGUUGUUGAGGAAGAUAAUGACGGUACUCAACAAGGAAGUGACGGCUAACUACGUGCCAGCAGCCGCGGUAAAACGUAGGUAACAAGCGUUGUCCGGAAUUACUGGGUGUAAAGGGAGCGCAGGCGGGAGAACAAGUUGGAAGUGAAAUCCAUGGGCUCAACCCAUGAACUGCUUUCAAAACUGUUUUUCUUGAGUAGUGCAGAAGUAGGCGGAAUUCCCGGUGUAGCGGUGGAAUGCGUAGAUAUCGGGAGGAACACCAGUGGCGAAGGCGGCCUACUGGGCACCAACUGACGCUGAGGCUCGAAAGUGUGGGUAGCAAACAGGAUUAGAAACCCUGGUAGUCC